CUCGGGGGCCUCCAUGUUCCACCAUGGGCAGGGGCUGCUCUCCAUCGGGGCUCACGCGGUCGCUGCCCUGACCUUGACCUUGGCUGACCUCGAGGGCUGGGACAGCGCCCCCUGCUGGAGCCUCUUCACCCUGUGCAGUGUCCCCCCCGCUCUCCUUGAGCUGCUGCUGCUGAUCUCAGUCUUGGGGGGCCGGAGGAGAGCAGCUUAA